rnacentral:rRNA from 1 species
UACGGAGGGUGCGAGCGUUAAUCGGAAUUACUGGGCGUAAAGCGCACGUAGGCGGUCAGGCAAGUCGGGUGUGAAAGCCCUGGGCUCAACCUGGGAACUGCAUUCAAAAUUGACAAGCUAGAGUAUGGUAGAGGGUGGUGGAAUUUCCUGUGUAGCGGUGAAAUGCGUAGAUAUAGGAAGGAACACCGGUGGCGAAGGCGGCUGCCUGGACCGAUACUGACGCUGAGACGCGAAAGCGUGGGGAGCAAACAGG